rnacentral:rRNA from 1 species
AGGAUGAACGCUGGCGGCGUGCUUAAGACAUGCAAGUCGAACGCAGAGCUGAUAGCAAUAUUGGCUCUGAGUGGCGAAUGGGUGCGUAACACGUAGGUGACCUGCCCUGAAGUGGGGAAUAACAGUCCGAAAGGACUGCUAAUACCGCAUACGGUUCAAGGCGUUAGAGAACUUGAACCAAAGCUCGUAAGGGCGCUUCAGGAGGGGCCUGCGGCCCAGUCAGUUAGUUGGUAGGGUAACGGCCUACCAAGACGACGAC